rnacentral:tRNA from 1 species
UGUUCUGUGGCGAAGUUGGUUAACGCGCCCAUCUAGCGAACUUGGGGAGACGUGGGUUCAAACCCCACCAGAACUA